rnacentral:lncRNA from 1 species
ACUUACACAACCAUGAUACAUGGAUUGUUUAGUGAACGUAGAUUUUCCGAGGGCUGGAAACUUUUCAAGGAUAUGGAAGCUCGACGAGUAUGUCCUGAUAUAUAUACUUAUAGUACAUUGUUGGAUGGGCUGUGCAGGAAUGGGGAGACUGAUGAAGCUCUUUCUUUUCUGCAUACGAUUGAAGGGAAAGGAGUUGAUCUCGAUAGAGUUACAUAUGGGGCUGUCAUUAAUGGAUUAUGCAAAAAUGGGAAACUUGAUGUUGCCAGAGAUCUUUUCAACCAACUGCCUUCUAGAGGUGUGCUACCUAAUGCUCGUAUAUAUAAUAUGAUCAUUGGUGCACUUUGUCAUGAAGGUUCUACGGAGGAGGCACAAUGUUUGCUUACAGAGAUGCAGAGUCAUGGUUGUGCACCUGACGACAUGACAUACAACAUCAUGACACGAAGUUUCCUAAAGAAGAAAGAACUUAGCAAGGCAAUACCAUACUUGGAAGUAAUGCGCGAAAAGGAACUCUCUGCAGAUGUUUCUACUCUUUCCAUGCUCAUUGAUCAAAUGCAAGGAAAAACUAAAGAUGAUGUUCUUCUCAAAUUGAUGAAAGAUGUUUUGCCAAAGGAUUUUCCAUCAUAGUCAUCUUACCUUCUGAGAUGCAACCAACUCAGGCUUUGGGGCUGAACUUUGUGUCUUUUUAUUUCUUCUAGGUUUUUUUUUUUUUUUUUUUUNCAUCUAAAGAUUUUUCUUGUGAUUUUGGAAGGGUACUUGCUUGCGUUUAUUUAUGGGUGGUUUAUCAAUUAAUCGAUUUUUUUGUAAUAUAUCUCAUGUGUACAAAUAUAUUCUCAUAUAUUCUAAUAUAUCAAUUCGUAUGCGUAUGUUGCAGAAAUGGAUAUUCAUUUAUUUUCUUCUACUUUGGAUACAAGAGGCAGCCUUCUAGCUGAAGUGUCUCUUUCCUAGAUUAGCAACACAACUAAUAUACACUUCCAUAUUUAAUGAAAAAAAAUGGCAAAGAAGAAGAUGAAAAGAAAAUUUACCAAACAUAUUACUCAUCUAAACCACAAUUUGAGCAGAAAACUACUUAUUUUGCAAAUCAAAAUUGCCUCACAAAACAUCCUGCAGUUUACAGUCUUGAAAAAGCUACACCAAAAACAUACUUGUGAAGAUUUAGCAACACAACUAAUAGCAGCAAACCGGUAUCUACACCCUCCUUCAUCUCCUAAACACAAUUCUCUCAACAAUACAAAAUACUCCCUCUGUCCCCAAAAUAAAAAUAAGUUUCUCUUUGGGGAUGGCACGGGUUUUAAGGAAAAGUGGUAAAGUGUAUUGAUAGUGGAGAAAAACAUUUUAUAAUUAUUAUUGAGAGUGGUGAAAAUGUGAAAAAAAUGUUAUAAUUACUAUUGGGAGUGGUGAAAAAUUGAAAAGUAAGAAUAAAUAAAGUAUUAUUAGUGGUGGGGUAGUCGUUCGAAAAUGGAAAGAAAGAAAGAGGAACUUAUUUGGAGGACGUCCCAAAAAAGAAAAAGAUGAACUUAUUUCAGGGACGGAGGGAGUAUAUUUUAAUAGGAGUAACAUAUAAUAAUUCACAUCAAUUACUCAAUAAAAUCCUGAAUUUAAAAAUAUAAAUAUUCAAUUUAUACAAAGUGUAAUAAUAAUUGAAGUUAUUAAAUAAAUUUAAAAAGUAUUCGAUAAUAAAAUUUUGCACUAUGCAUAUACUAUUCAUCAUAAUAAAUAUUUCUAUACAAACGUAAAUAAAAAGUUUUGGUGACAUUUAAAUAUUUUUCAUGAUCAAAUUUGAUGACGUUUAAAUAAUAAUUACAAUAUAAAAAGGUUAAAAAAAUAGUGAAAAUUUUGGUGGAAGAAAGAGAUCGAGAGAAAAGAGAGGGAAAAAAUAGAGAGAGAAAACUCAUCUUUUAUAUAUUAUAUAGAUAUAGAUAUAGAUUCCAGGUAUUAUUCUUGUGUUUUUUUCUCAAGAAAAUGUAUUAUUUUAUUUACAUUGUAUAGUAUUGCUAUAUUUUCUUUUCGUGCAUAGCACAUGAGAAAAUACUAGUUAACCUAAGAGAGAGAUUACUAUAGUGAUUUUCUUAGAAGAAAUGCGCGAAAAGAGACUCUUAGCAUAUGCUUCUACUUUUUUGAUUUAAUCCAUUAUCAUUGCAGCAGAUUAUUUAAAGGGGUGGAAUUAAAAGUACCCACCCCCAUAAUAUGUCUAUGAAAAAUACCCAACCCCUUACUAGGGGUGGGUAUUUUUCAUAUAUUAAGUCUUAUUUAAAUUUGUUUGGAUUGGUCUAGAGAUGACACUUGUUCUACUUUUUUUUAUAUAAGGCACUUACUUGAAGUUAUAAAAAAUAUAUAUACAUAUAUAUAAAAGUCCAUUAUGAUAUCACAAAAUUUUUUAUCAUAAAAAACACAUGCAAUUCUAAAAUUAACAAAUAAUAAUAUGCCUUAUAACUACAAUAUUAAAUAUUACAAACUGAUCUACAACAAAAUUAUAAUACAAAUUUGAAUAAGAGCGAUGAAAAGAAUUGUUUAACUUAAUAUUACCAACAAAUUUCACUCAUAACGCCAUUGCAUAAUGAAACUAUCAAAUUAACUAUAUAUUUUUUUAUUUACAUACAAAAUAGGGUUAUUUACGAAAGAAAUAAGGUUAUUUUAGGUAUUUUUUUUAAAGACAAAUGAAAGAAGGAAACUCAUUGUAUAAUUAAAAGUUCUCAAGUAUACAUUAGAAAAUACAAGUAAAAAAAAAGUAUACAUUAGAAAAUACGAUGGAAUUGUGUAGUGAUCCAACAUAUUUGGUAAGUGGCUACUUUAUUUCAAAGUUAAAUACUUUUUUAUAUAAUUAAAAUAAGAAAACUAAAAUAAUUAUAGAUGCACUACAUUUUAAAAAAUGUAAGAAAACGUUUAUUAUGUUUACUAUCUUAGUAUUUUUUUUUCUGUAGCCCAAAUAAUUUGAGCCCAAACAUUAUUAUUCAAGCCCAAAAUUCUGAGCCUACCAAAGAACUCCCCUUACAAAAAAGUCCAAAUCGCAAACUCCAUCCGUUGCAAUUUCAACCCUUUUUUCAGAUUCAAUCACAACUAAUCUCGCAAGCGUCGCCCAACACUCUCCCUUUCUUCACAUUAAAUCUCACCGCCGAUUAAGGAUGAGAGCAGAAGAGCUGCUGUUUCUGCAAUCGAUCUCAUUCAUGGAACAGGAUUUCUCAUCGAUGGUCGCAUAAAUCGGGUAUUUCUCUCCUCCAUUCCACUUCUCUUCAAGCGUCGCCCAACACUCUCCCUUUCUUCACAUUAAAUCUCACCGCCGAUUAAGGAUGACGAGCAGAAGAGCUGCUGUUUCUGCAAUCGAUCUCAUUCAUGGAACAGGAUUUCUCAAUCGAUGGUCGCAUAAAUCGGGUAUUAUCUCUCCUCCAUUCUCUCUCUUCUCUUCCAAGGCUUUUCAACCUAAGCAGCCCAGAAUCGAUUUCAGCUGUGUUAAAGAAUUAAAUGAUGCUAUUGGAUUGUUUCAAAAAAUGAAGAGUAUGCAGCCGGAGCCUUCUGUUCGAAUGUAUAACAAUCUUUUGAGUGUCACUGUAAAGAUUGAGCAGUAUUCUUUUGCCCUUUAUAUGUUUGAUGAAAUGCUUAGGAUGGGUGUCCCUGUUGAUGUUUACACGAUGACUAUUGCUGUGAAUUGUUGUUGUCUCUUGAAAGAUAUAAAAUCUGGCUUUGCUGUAAUGGGUAUAUUUUUCAAGAGAGGCUACGAACCAAAUGUCGCGACAUUCACCACUCUGAUUAAAGGGUUGUUUUUAAAUCAUAAGGUGGCCGAGGCUGGGAAAUUGUUCAAUAAGAUUUUGCGUUUCGGAAUAUGUGAGCCUAAUGAUGUUAUGAUUCUGACGAUGGUAGAUGGGCUUUGUAAAUCAGGAAAUGUCCUUCCAGCGAGAGAUUUAGUUCGUAGAUUAGAAAGAAGUAGGUUGAGACCUAAUGUCAAGGCUUAUAAUGCAUUACUCGAUGGGCUACGCAAAUCUGGAAUGGUGGAUGAUGCUCUCCAGCUCCUAUCCGCGAUGAUCGAAAAGGGUAUUACACCCAAUGUUGUCACGUACAACUCAAUGAUUCAGGGGUUGUGCGACCUAGGGAGACUGGAGGAUGUUAAGGUUCUGGUGAAUGAAAUGUCUAAUUCUAAUAUUUCUCUCGAUGUUGUUACCUUUAGUAUAUUGAUUGAUGCAUACUGCAAGGAGAGAAAGAUGGAAGAGGCUGAGGAUUUGUUGAAAAUUAUGAAGCAACGUAACGUAUGCCCUAAUGUUGUCACUUAUAAUACGCUGAUUGAUGGGUAUUGUUUGAGAGGGGAAAUUGACAAAGCACGACAAGUAAUUGAUUCCAUGGUUGACAAGGGACUUAAGCCUAAUAUUGUUAGCUACGGCUGCUUAUUAAAUGGAUAUUGCAGAAAGGGGAGAAUAGACGAAGCUUGGCUUCAUUUUCUCGAAGUUCCUUUGAAAGGUCUGGAGCAUGAUACAUGUACUUAUAAUACCAUGAUUCAUGGACUGUUUAGUAAGCGUAGAUUUUCCGAGGGCUGGAAACUUUUCAAGGAUAUGGAAGCUCGACGAGUAUGUCCUGAUAUAUAUACUUAUAAUACAUUGUUGGAUGGGCUGUGCAGGAAUGGGGAGAUUGAUGAAGCUCUUUCUUUUCUGCACACGAUUGAAGGGAAAGGAGUUGCUCCUAAUAGAGUCACAUAUGGGGCUGUCAUUAAUGGAUUAUGCAAAAAUGGGAAACUUGAUGUUGCUAGAGAUCUUUUCAACCAACUACCUUCUAGAGGUGUGCAACCUAAUGCUCGUAUAUAUAAUAUGAUCAUUGGUGCACUUUGUCAUGAAGGUUCUACAGAGGAGGCACAAUGUUUGCUUACAGAGAUGCAGAGUCAUGGUUGUGCACCUGACGAAGUGACAUACAACAUCAUGACGCGAAGUUUCCUAAAGAAGAAAGAGCUUAGCAAGGCAAUACCAUACUUGGAAGUAAUGCGCGAAAAGGAACUCUCAGCAGAUGUUUCUACUCUUUCCAUGCUCAUUGAUCAAAUGCAAGGAAAAACUAAAGAUGAUGUUCUUCUCAAAUUGAUGAAGGAUGUUUUGCCAAAGGAUUUUGCAUCAUAGUCAUCUCGCCUUCUGAGAUGCAACCAACUCAGGCUUUGGGGCUGAACUUUGUGUCUUUUUAUUUCUUCUAGUUUUUUUUUUUUUUUUCAUCUAAAGAUUUUUCUUGUGAUUUUCUUGCGUUUAUUUAUGGGUGGUUUUUCAAUUCUCAUAUAUCUCAUGUUGUGUGCAAAUAUAUUCUCAGAUAUUCUAAUAAUUCAAUUCAUAUGCAUAUGUUACUGAAAUGGAUAUUCAUUUAUUUUCUUCUGCUUUUGAUUUUCACCUAGAAAUAAAGGGUGGUAAGUAUCUGUUCCCUUUGAGCAAGAAGCAGACAGCCUUCUAGCCUUCUAGCAACACAACUAAUAUAUACUUCCAUAUUUAAUGAAAAAAAAUGGCAAAGAAG